GAUGAACGCUGGCGGCGUGCCUAAUACAUGCAAGUCGAGCGAACAGACGAGGAGCUUGCUCCUCUGACGUUAGCGGCGGACGGGUGAGUAACACGUGGAUAACCUACCUAUAAGACUGGGAUAACUUCGGGAAACCGGAGCUAAUACCGGAUAAUAUAUUGAACCGCAUGGUUCAAUAGUGAAAGACGGUUUUGCUGUCACUUAUAGAUGGAUCCGCGCCGCAUUAGCUAGUUGGUAAGGUAACGGCUUACCAAGGCAACAAUGCGUAGCCGACCUGAGAGGGUGAUCGGCCACACUGGAUCUGAGACACAGUCCAGACUCCUACGGGAGGCAGCAGUAGGGAAUCUUACGCAAUGGGCGAAAGCCUGACGUAGCAACGCCGCGGGAGUGAUGAAGGUCUUCGGAUCGUAAAAUUCUGUUAUUAGGGAAGAACAAAUGUUUAAGUAACUAUGCACGUCUUGACGGUACCUAAUCAGAAAGCCACGGCUAACUACGUG
rnacentral:rRNA from 1 species